UACGAGGGGGGCGAGCGUUGUUCGGAAUUAUUGGGCGUAAAGGGUGCGUAGGCGGUUUGGUAAGUCUGAUGUGAAAUCUAUGGGCUCAACUCAUAGUCUGCAUCGGAAACUGCCGGGCUUGAGUAUGGGAGAGGUGAGUGGAAUUCCUGGUGUAGCGGUGAAAUGCGUAGAUAUCGGGAAGAGCACCCGUGGCGAAGGCGGCUCUCUGGGACGGUACUGACGCUGAGACGCGAAAGCGUGGGGAGCGAACAGG
rnacentral:rRNA from 1 species